rnacentral:rRNA from 1 species
GGACUACAGGGGUUUCUAAUCCUGUUUGCUCCCCACGCUUUCGCGCCUCAGCGUCAGUGUCGGUCCAGAGAGCCGCCUUCGCCACCGGUGUUCUUCCCAAUAUCUACGAAUUUCACCUCUACACUGGGAAUUCCACUCUCCUCUCCCGAACUCUAGCCGUCCCGUUUCGAGCGCAGUUCCCAGGUUGAGCCCGGGGCUUUCACACUCGACAAAAACGGCCGCCUGCGCGCCCUUUACGCCCAGUAAAUCCGAACAACGCUCGCCCCCUUCGUAUUACCGCGGCUGCUGGCAC